rnacentral:rRNA from 1 species
CAGUAGCCGCGGUAAUACAGAGGGUGCAAGCGUUAAUCGGAAUUACUGGGCGUAAAGCGCGCGUAGGUGGUUUGUUAAGUUGGAUGUGAAAUCCCCGGGCUCAACCUGGGAACUGCAUUCAAAACUGACUGACUAGAGUAUGGUAGAGGGUGGUGGAAUUUCCUGUGUAGCGGUGAAAUGCGUAGAUAUAGGAAGGAACACCAGUGGCGAAGGCGACCACCUGGACUAAUACUGACACUGAGGUGCGAAAGCGUGGGGAGCAAACAGGAUUAGAUACCCGGGUAGUCCCUGUCUCUUAUAC